GAAUGGGAAAUCAAUCGAUAGUGCCUCGAUCGCUGCCAACAGACAAUUGAUGGCUAACUGACCCAUUUAGUAUUCAGUUCGAGUUCUAUAGUCGCGGGAAAAGCAACGGCAUUAGUUUUCUACCGAGGAGCCAGGCAAAAGAUCCUGGGACACCAACGUUGAAAGGCUCAGGAAAGAAAAAAUUGCGCAGUUGCUGCGAUUACACAAUCAUUUGUG